rnacentral:lncRNA from 1 species
AUGUUACAACCAUUGCAAAUCCCAAUCUACUUCUUCACUCUAUAUUACCCAUAUCUCUCCUCUCUGCUUUCUCACUCUUCAUCUAUAUCCUCUCUUUUCUCUCUACUGAAAACUCCAUAUAGCCAUAUCUAUUUCUUUUUUCAUUAAUUCUCACAAGGGAAAAGAAUAAUGCAGAUUCAACCACGCCCUGAGCAGCAGCUCUCUCGUCAGGUGGCCAAGACCACCACUGCUGUCACCGUGGGUGGCUCACUCAUGGUGCUCUCCGGCUUAACGCUGGCGGCCACCGUUAUCGGCCUAGCUAUCGCUACCCCUUUGCUGGUGAUAUUCAGUCCUAUUCUUGUACCAGCUGUGAUAACUGUUGGGUUGAUCCUUGCAGGUUUCUUGGCUACUGGUGGUUUUGGAGCCACUGCUUCUUUCGUUUUCUACUGGAUGUACAGAUACGUCACAGGGAAGCAUCCGAUCGGCGCUUCCAAGAUUGAUUAUGCGAGGGAUAAAAUUGCGCAUGCAGCACAUGAUGUGAAGGAGAAGGCGGAGCAAUUGGGACAUCAAGCAGGGCAACAGAUUAAGGGUUGAGAGAUUUUCUUAUGCAUGCAUGUGCACCUUUUAAUUGUUUGUUAAUCGGUUUUGUGUGAGAAUGUGAGUCUCGUGUUUGUUGGAUAGGGAAAUGUUGUUGGAUUUUGUGGUAGCCGUUACUGGUUCUGUAUCAAGAUUUACUUUCACUUAACGAGUCUUCUUUUGGUUUUACCCAAAUCUUGUUGAGUCUGAUUUUGGUUAAUCCCUAAUUUUUUUUUUAGUUCCGUGGUACAUUCGCUAUUUCCCCCUCAGAACACAAACGCAAAGUUGCAACGAAACCUUGACAGGAGGAGGUUAAUGCUUUUAGACAAAACAAAUAAAACUGCAAGGUCUGACCCGAUUUACUUUGUUAUCUGAACGGAAAAGUCAACAUGCACCGAUUGAUAAUUUUGAGUAAUAAACACAAAUUAUCUUUUAAGAUUUUGCGUGAUAGUAAUGGACCAUUUCCUCGUCAAUUUGCGUUUUACCUUUGAACUUCUAGGUAAGAACCAAAUAUGUAAUCUACGACCAACCUAAGCAAAAGCCUGGCAGUGACAGCAGAAAAAUUAUUGGCCAGCCGUGAAAUUACUGCAAACAUGCAACGGAGUUAUACGCCAAUAGUGGAAAUACUCAGUUUCUCGGAAGUAAUCUGAUUGCACAUAUAUGCAUCACCAACAAGAAAGAAACAUGGUACGAGAAAGCAGGAAAAGGUGUUGUCAACGGUGAGAAAUAAAUACGUAUUGUGCUCUUAUACACUAACACUCCCAAAGGUAAAAUCUCAGCCAUAAAGCUCUCUGUUCGGUUCAAACUCUUUUUGAAAUGGCAAUAACGUUAAAGUUGAUUGAGUCUGGAUUUUUCUCGAUCAUCUUUUGGAUAACUUUAGCUGAAUCCUGUAAUAAAAGAGAAGGCAAUACGUCAACAUGAUAUUUCUAAAAACUCUGUCAAUGUAACUAAUGCAACCAUAGUAGCUACAUGAUGGGCAGAUGAAAGGGACCAGACAUGUUUGUUUUUUUUUUUCAAGAAAGGGCACCUAUUUGUUCCGGUGCGAAAUCAUAAACAAGCUUUAUCGAGGAUUGCUAUGCCGCCUCCAUCUUUAGUAACAGAAUAAACUAAAAGCAGCUAAUGCAUCUUUCAAAUGACGGAGUGCAGUGCGUCUGUAAUGGAGUUGAUUUUCAGUGGCUACGUAGUUUCCCUCUUGAACUGUCCCACAUCCUUGAAUAGUUUCUUUUUUUUUCUUCCUUACAGAAUGUAAAACUCGUGACAUAAUCCUAUAAAUCUAAUAAGCUGCACCAACACUAUCUAAGAGGAUGAACCUAGCUCAAUUAGGAACUAAGCUAGCGUUUGGCCAUAGAUUACCAAAUUUGUUUUGAAAAAUCUAUUUUGGGUGAAGUUUGGCUUGAAGAUGUUGGACAUACGUUUUCAAAACAUAUUUUCCAAAUUUAUUUUAGAAAAAUAUGUGUGUUAUUAGGGAUUUGGCCCAAAACCAGCUAUUGAUUUGAGAUUUGGGAUUUGGAAUUUUGUCAAAAUAUAAGCAAAAUCUAUGGCCAAACAUGUAUUUGCCAAAUAAAACUCAAGUAUAUUUUGGCAAAAUCUAUGGCCAAACGGGUCUUAGAAAAUGCUAGGAAAUCCCCCGAGGCCAAUUACCUGCACCCAGUUGUUUCAAGGUGCCAUUCUAC